CGAAGGGCGUAGCGUUGCUCGGAAUCACUGGGCGUAAAGGGCGCGUAGGCGGCCAUUCAAGUCGGGGUGAAAGCCCAGGGCUCAACCCUGGAAUUGCCUUCGAUACUGUUUGGCUAGAGACCGGAAGAGGUAAGUGGAACUGCGAGUGUAGAGGCGAAAUUCGUAGAUAUUCGCAAGAACACCAGUGGCGAAGGCGGCUUACUGGUCCGGUUCUGACGCUGAGGCGCGAAAGCGUGGGGAGCAAACAGGAUU
rnacentral:rRNA from 1 species